CUACGUCAUCAUAGCGGGCUGCGGGCUGCCCUGCGUUAGAAUGGACAACUCUAGCCUACUGUACCUACUUCCUCUCGUUCAAGUAUUAGGCGCAAUCUGGAAAUUCCAGGUUCUGCUGAGACGGAUGAUUCCAGUGCCGAAGAGGAAAAUUCGGAAAAUGAAUCAGCCACUAAAGAUGAUGCCUCUCUCUUCCACUGAUUGUUCACUGACAGUAUUUCGUGAGAAUUUUCCUUUUUUAGUUACCAUGUUACUUAUGCAUAUCUCCAAAAAUUUAUUUUCCUUGGUCAUCAUUCUUUGUCUGUAUUGUUCUUAUUUAAAUAUGUCUUGAUACUUAAUUGUCAGUAGCCAAAACUCUGAAUAUUUUUUUCACUGGCUGUGGGCAACAUUUUUUACACAACUACCAAGAUUUGGACCUUAGUCAAAUUUCGGUUAAUUUGCUCAACUCAAAGUGUUAAAAACAUUUUAUAAAUAACUUAAGUUCAUUGUGUUUAUGUUUGAAAGUGUCAUAAAGUCUCUUGCAACUGUCAUGGAGUUCAUUAAGACAAUAAGCCUAAUGAUGCAAUGAACAUUUGAGGGGCUUGGAGGACAAGGCGCAUAAGUGCAUUGUUCGAAAAAAUUGAGAUAUUAAUGUUUCAUCUAAAAGUAGACCUAAAAAUUCUGUGACAAAUUCACCGCAAAAAUUCAAUUUAAAGCAUCAAAAAGUGAGUCUGAACUUUUUUUCUGCUGUGGGCUCUGUGUAAUUUUGAAACUUUCAAUGCAUAUUUCUUGAAAGAGCAAAACCUGCACUUAUGCGCCUUGUCCUCCAAGCUCCUCAUUUGACAAAUUAGCUUUUUGCUGCAAUAAAUAUUUAGCCUGUGAUUUUGUGUAAGGUAUUUCUCUGACUUUAGUCAUUUGUUAGCAAACUAUUUCGUUUGAAAUAUUUAUUAUUGUGCUUUUAGUUUUUUCUCUCAUACUCAUUACUAUUUUCAACUAUUCAUUCAAUACGGUGGCCAGAUAUUUCUUGAAAUUAUUUGUUUUUGUGCCUUUAGUUUUUUCUCUCAUACUCAUUAAUAUUUUCCAAGUGCUCAAAAUAUUGUUUGUGUAAGCAGUUAAAUGAAAGUGUUCUAUUUUAUCCUUUCUUAAAAGUUUUCUCUAAGAUGAGCUUUUCACAUUCAUUUUUGGAAAUGUAAUGUAGUCUCUAAUUUAUUUUCUGAAUGACAAGUGGACGAUUUUCAACAAUGUGUUCCACUGAAUGUUGCAUUGUUGAUUUGGCAAAAGAGAUCUCUUAGUCUUUGAUCUCAUUAUUGUUCAAUUCACAUUGGUUUGUUUCUUUAAAAUGUCCAAAUAAUACCUUGAAGGUUUACUCUUAACGGGUUUAAAUAAGACUUGUUUUUUCUAUGACUUUUUUGUUUCCUCAAAGUGUCUAAAUAUUUCCGUGUAAUACCUUGAUGGUUUACUAAACAGGUUUAAAUAAGACUUGUUUUUUCUAUGACUUUUUUUUGUUUCCUCAGAGGUACAAAUAUUUCCAUGUGAUACCUUGAAGGUUUACUCAAUGGGUUUAAAUAAGACUUGUUUUUUCUAUGACUUUAUUAUUAUUCAAAGUUUUGUUCCUUCAUACUUCAGCUUUGUUCUUAAAAAUCUGUUUUUCCUCCUGUAAUUGUUUGAAACCGUUUCAAAGUUUUCUUCAGCAUUUCUAAUGUAAAGCUUUUAAGCAUAUACAUUUUUUAAAUUCAUCCAAACCUUAAACAAACCUAAAAAAAACAAAGUAUGUGGGCUUUCAAAUAAAUUCGAAUGUAUAGUGAUUAUUUUUUGGAAAAGGAGGAAGAAAAUUUUGAAGCGUCUCCAUGGAAAUUUCUUGUUAUUGGGCAUGAAUUUUCGUCCCUCACACAAAUCGACUUGACUGGAUCGCAACAUUUCUGUUACCAGGUCAAUACUUCACUCUCAAUCUAUGAAAAGUUUGGUAUUUUAGCCUGAAAAUAACACUUUUCGUCAAGAAAGAUAAAUUCAUUUUUCGAGCAAAAAUGUGUAAAAAUGAUAUGUUGACAGAGUUACUGAAAUGUCUCAGUCCAGAUGUGUUGCUUUAUGUGGGGUAUGGCGACUUACGCCUAAUAAAAAUUUAAAUAAGACAGGGUGUCUACAGGUCUGGAAAACCGGGAAAAUUCUGAGAAUUUUAUCAAAAAGACCGGAAAAGUUUGAAAAGAGUGCAUUCACACAACCUACCACCAGGCUGCAGGACUGGCUUUGUUAUGAGCAUGUAAUAGUUUCGUGAAUGUAAGAUUCAAGUAGGAUUUGGAAUUUUAGAUGAUUGAAUGAUAGAUACUGGAGGGGAAGAGGUUCACAUGCUUUUAUCAGUUACGGCGAAACUAAUUUAAAAAAUAGUGUACAUAAACAAAAAUUGUUCAUUUUCAGCUCUACGUGUCGAAUUGUCGAUGUACAAAAUCAGGGAAUUUUGAUCAAUAUGGACAGGGAAAAUUUGGAAAAGUCAGGGAAAUUUUUCUUCCCAAGUCUGUAGACACUCCGUAUGAAUACACCAUUAAUACUGAAUAAAAAUAUUUUUGAGACUUGCGCAAGAAACUGAUCGAAAAAAUUUUUGGUACUUACUCGCGCGAUAAAUUCAU
rnacentral:lncRNA from 1 species